AAUGAUUGCUAUCUGAUUGUUUUCUCCACGUUCACAUGUGUAGGAUCUUAUUUUCUUCAUGUUCACCAGGUGGGUAGUAUCUUGAGAACUCAAUAAAUAUGGAGACAGAAUGGUCGUUCGGGCUUCUUGUUGCCUAGCUGAGUUAGUCUCCCGUCCCUUCAAUUCUGCGUCCGCUGUCUCUCUCUGGACAAAGAACUCCAGACUCAUGGUCUGCGACAGAUCACCGUCAUUUUUCCCAAGGACCUCUCCAUCCUCCGGCGUAUUGACGAUUUACUGACAGCAGUGACUGCCAAAGCCUUCCAGAUGCAAGGGACUGAGUCUUUACUGGUGACAGCUAAAUUUUGGGCUGUUCCUACUGCUUUGGCUUCAAGUCCCCUACAGAAAAAGAACAUUGAAUAUGAAGGCUUGCCAUCAGGCUACACCCCUGUCAACACCACCCACACUCAGGUUCUACUCAACACUGCCCUCUGUUUGGUAUGGAGUUCGUAACACUAGAUGUUUGUCUGUGUAGUUGGAAGAUGACGUUCCAGUUGGCUCUAGCCCUGGGCUGAAGGUGAGAGCCUGAAGCCUUUGUAGGCAGAAGCUGACUUGGAGGUCCACAAAGGAAGUGCCUUAUGGAACUAUGGGUGGGUGGUGGUCCGUACCUGGUAAGUUUCAAUGGGGCGGUUUUCCAUGUUGAGAUCCCAGACUUUAACGGUCAGAUAGUCUCUGGUCAUGAUAUACCUCCCACUGUGGCUGAACUUCACAUCCGAAAUCGAAGAGAUAAUUUCAGAGAAAAACGACCUGUUGCUUGGAUCUUCGGGCUCUUCAAAAACUGCACGGCAGAAGCAAAACAAGACAAAAUGAGCACAUCCUUUUCAACUAACUCUACCAUGUAUGGGCCAGCUAGAAAGACAACAGUCUAACUUGGAGUAGAAUCUUCAGAAUGUGAGUAAGGUACUAAUAGAGAACCGUCAUUUCCCUGGAAGCAGAAAGUGGUUACUGGUUUCUGUAUUUUCCUUCUCAUGGAAGGACUCACAUGGACCUGUACAUUGAUGGAUCUAGCCCUGAGCAUUUCCAAGCUCCAGGUCUAUGGAUCUACCUCUGUUACACAACUCCCCUGGUCUUUGUGGGUCACCUCACAUAUCAAAACUUGGAGUCAUCUGAGAUGCCUAAAAGUGUGUUUAUGGGUUUUUCUUAGAUAUAAAAUUACAUACUGUACAAUUUCCUCAUUUGAAGUUUAUAGUUCAUUGUUUUUGUCAGUAUAAUCACAUACUUGUAUAAGCAUUGCAACAAUCUAAAUUUCAAACUUUUCAUCAACUAACCCUCAAAAAUUCCAUACCCAUUUGCAGUUAAUUCUGCUUCCCUACUCCUGCAGCCCUAGGAAAUGACUAAUCUGUUUUAUGGUUGUAUGACAUUACCUAAUCUGGAAAUUUCCCAUAAAUGGAAUUAUACAAUGUAGGGUUUUCCUGUGACUACUUUCUCCCUUAGUAAACUGUUUCCAAGGUUCAUCCAUGCUCUAGUGGAAAUCAGCACUUCAUUCCUUUUGAUGGGUGAAUAAUAACUCACUGUACGGAUAUACCAGAUUUGGUUUAUCCAUUUAUCAGUUGAUAAACUCUUGGGUGUCUACUUUUUGGCUAUUACACAUAACACUGCUAUGAAUAUUCAUGCGUAAGCUUUUGUGUGGACAUUUAUUUUCCUAUCUUUUCGGUUAUGGUUUUUAAUAGUGUUGCUUUGCUGAGCCUCAGUCUUGUCUUUUGUGUAUAUUGUCCCUUUGCUCUGCUAUCCAGGCACUUCUUACCUCAGUAGCUUCAGCUGAUUUCCACUUACACGAAUAAAGGCACAGCCCCUCAGAUGGACAACAGAGCCCAUCAAAAGUUGUUGUAACAUGUCGAUCUUGAUUUUGAACUUCUCUGGUUCAAAUGGAAUAUAUAGAACAUAGCUUAGGUAUAUUUUGAGUGUUCCCGUUUCUAGGCCUGAUUGUUCUGUCUUCACAGACUGAAAUCCCUCUGGGCUCUUACGCCUCAUCUUUCGCAUACCAUCUUUGCCUUAAAUGAUUUUUUUUCACGGAAGCCCCCCACAUUUGGUCUGGCCCACUUAUUUAACAAGACCUCUGGUACUCUCACAUUGCUGUUUAACACUAUGCAUGUUUGUCUUACUGCAAUUGCAGUGCGAGCUUCUUUUUGGUUUUUCUUUGUACUUAAAGACUUGGGCACAAAUGUUCAAUAAACAUGUGUUGCUUGAUUAGAACCAAA